CUGCUGUAUGAAAGGAGAGGUUAGCACUCCCCUUGAUUAGGAUAGAAGAAGUUUUAGUGGCCUUUACACCAUAUAUAUGGUUAAAGCAUUGCUACCUACUCUGUGGCAUCUAACCCACUUUCUUA